rnacentral:rRNA from 1 species
CAGCCGCCGCGGGAAUACGGAGGGGGCUAGCGUUGUUCGGAAUUACUGGGCGUAAAGCGCACGUAGGCGGCUUUGUAAGUUAGAGGUGAAAGCCCGGAGCUCAACUCCGGAAUUGCCUUUAAGACUGCAGAGCUAGCAGGUGAGAGAGGUGAGUGGAAUUCCGAGUGUAGAGGUGAAAUUCGUAGAUAUUGGGAAGAACACCGGUGGCGAAGGCGGCGACCUGGUCCAUAACUGACGCUGAGGCGCGAAAGCGUGGGGAGCAAACAGGAUUAGAUACCCCCGUAGUCCCUGUCUCUUAUAC